rnacentral:tRNA from 2 species
GCUCCCGUAGUCUAGUCCGGUCAAGGAUAGAGGGCCUUCGACCCUCCAACGUGGGUUCAAAUCCCGCCGGGAGCA